GCAGCAAGAGAUACAGUUGCCUCUUGCUCGGUGCUUUAACUGGACAGAAAGAGACACCGUGCUGCUCACUCCUGCCUUCCACAGGCAGCUACUGGCCACUGGUGAGGGAGUGGACUCCAGAGACAACAGGAGGAGAGGAACAGCAAGUGCAGACCAUCCUUUACGGAGUGUUGUAGAAAGAGGAGGAGAAAUGGGCAGUGGCUGGACAGGGGAGUUGGAACAAGAAAGAACUCUUCUUAAAGGAGCCACCAGAGAGGCACAGAAGUCACCUCACAAGGCCUAAGGAAACAGCAAAAUCAUUCUUCGUGGAUACCGCCUUCAUGUGAUAUGAUGAAGAUGACCAAUGAAAAUCUAUAAACUACUCAAAGCUCCCUUAAAUGAUAAACUGUAGAGAGACGGAGUCUCACCAUGUUUCCCAGGCUGG
rnacentral:lncRNA from 1 species